GUAUACAUCCAUACCACCCUGAAUGCACUGGAUCUUGUCUGAUCUCGGAAGCUAAGCAGGGUUAGGCCUAGUUAGUACAUGUACGGG
ensembl:rRNA 5S_rRNA 5S ribosomal RNA